ACAGAUAUUGAUAAUGGUGCUGAUACAGAUAUUGAUGCGGAUAUUGAUAUUGAUGCUGAUGAGGAUGCUGAUGAGGAUGCUGAUGAAGAUGAGGAUGAUGCUGAUGAUGAAACAAAAAAAGUCAUUUAAUAUUAGGAAGAAUGAUGGUAAUAAUAUAAGUAAACGUGGUUUGGGUGAUGUACCUAACAUAAAUGAUAAAAAAAAUUCACAGGAUAAUAAUAACAAUGAUGAAAAUGAUGAAGAUAAGAAAUAUGUUCCUGAUGAUGGUGAUACACAAGAACCGGGAGAAGAAUCAGGAGAAGAAUCGGACAAUCAUAAUAAUGAUACAGAUGAAUCAAAUGAUUCUGACACAUCUGAGAAAGAUGCUGAUAUACAUGAGGAAGUAGAUGUUGAUAUGUAUGAGGGAGAAGAUAUGGAUACAUUUGAUGAAGAAGAUGUUGAUAUAUCUGAUGGAGAAGAUAUAGAUAUAUCUGAGGGAGAAGAUAUAGAUAGAUUUGAUGAAGAAGAUAUUGAUACAUCUGACGAAACAGAUGUUGAUACAUCUGAGGAAAAAGAUGAUAUAUCGAAAGAAAAAGAUGUUGAUAUAUCGGAGGAAAUAGAUGUUGAUACAUUUGAUGAUGUAGAUGUUGAUACAUUUGAUGAAGAAGAUCCUGACAAAUAUGAGGAAAGUGCUGAUAAAGCUGAGGAAGAUGAUGCUGAUAAAGCUGAGAAAGAAGAUGCUGAUAAAGCUGAGAAAGGUGAUGAUGAAGAGAGAAGUGGUAAAACGAAAGUAAUUUCAGAUCCUGACGCAUUUGAAAAAAACAAAUACGCAAAUGUAUUUAAUUAUGAAAUAGAUAUAGAUAUACCUGAAGAAGAAAUAGAAUUUUGUUAUAAAGAUUUAAAAUUUUUAUUGAAUGAACAUAUUUUAUCAUAUGAUGAUUUGACUGAUGAAGAAAUACAAACAUUAGCAGGUCCAAGUGACUUAUUCUAUCAAAUAUCACCAUACACAGAUGAUGAAAAAAGUUUAAGUUUUAAUGAAGGAGCUAGUUUGGUAAAUGAUCAACAUCAGAAUAAUUUAAAAAAAUAUGGAAGAUAUCAUUUAAG
rnacentral:lncRNA from 1 species